AAACGACUCUCGGCAACGGAUAUCUCGGCUCACGCAUCGAUGAAGAACGUAGCAAAAUGCGAUACUUGGUGUGAAUUGCAGAAUCCCGUGAACCAUCGAGUUUUUGAACGCAAGUUGCGCCCAAAGCCUUUUGGUUGAGGGCACGUCUGCCUGGGUGUCACAC
rnacentral:rRNA from 1 species